UAGACUGCCGAGCGCGUCCCCUGGAGGGCAGAGGCAGAGGAACAAGGGGCCCGCCUAGAGGAUUCAACAGGCGUGGUUAUGGCCAGCAAAGAGGAAGAGGAUACGGACAGCAACAGCAGCAGGAUAUGACUCAACAAUAUCCGCCGCAGCAGCAGCAGUCUUACCCUCAAGUGCCAAACCAACAGCACCUGCCACCGUCUGGGGGCCAGUAUCCGCAAUGAUGGGGCCCCGAAUCCACAUGCCAUGGUCUGCAGGAACCAAUGAUUGGACUGACGGUAGGAGGAACUAUUUUACCUUUUAUGGUCGAUACGGGAGCCAGACAUUCAACCGUUAUGACAUUACCACCUGAAAGUUCCCUUACUACAAAAGGCAUUUCACUUGUUGGAUUCCGGGGUGAAGAAACCAUCCGGCACAUGACUACACCCGUACAUACUCAGUGUUUUACACAAACUCUUUUACACUCGUUUGUGUAUGCGCCCAAUUGCCCUGUCAACCUGUUGGGAAGGGAUCUUCUCAUCAAAACAGCUCCAACAAUACUGUGCAGCCCGGAUCGACUGAUAUUACAGUUUCUUGAUGGACACACCUACUGUUGUUCCGGUGACGACACAUCAAACAUCUACAUGCAGGACUCAGAGCGACAAAUACCAAGUAUGACGUGUGCCACCGCCGACAUCUACUGGGCGAAAAUGGCCACUGACUCACCCGGAUGGACGGAAGCAGAGACCUUUUGGACUCAAUGGUCGCCGUGGGUUCGUCACCUCAGACCCUAUGAUAUGGUUUCUGAUUGUAUGCAUUGCACUCUGUACUAUGACAGGUCGGGAGAUGAGGUGUACAGCGAGGCUUUCCAAAAUGUAGAAGGCAACAUCUGGGAACUACAAAUGGGUGACCUGUUCGUGGGAAAACCAGGUGUGGCUUUUUCAAUUUCACUAACACCUGAACAACAAAAAUGGUAUAUGAUGACUCAUCCAUCAGAUCCCACUGUGCCACCAUGUCAUCCUCAUGUGUCCUUGAUGGUAUCACCACCGCAUACUGCAAAGGAUUUGGGUCCGUUCGUCCUAAGCUGCACACAGGCUACUGAUUGGCAGCCAACUUUUCAUGACACAUUGCUAUUUUCUCGGUCUCUCGAUGCAUACUGGAUACAGUCAGCAUCGUAUACACCAACAUCAACCCUGGAGCAUUGCUUGUUGGACAGACAUCAUGGACGAGAAACAACUGACAGUGAAUUUGCCAGUCCUAUGGUACAAUCUUUGCCUCUACAUCUGUGGUCUACAGACCCAACAGACGUGGGAUUGUGUCAAGUACAGCCGGUGAAAUUCAAAAUGAAGCCUGAUCCUAUUUGGAUACCACAGUAUCCAAUGAAGGAAGCAGGUCGAAUUGGCAUUACAGAAACCGUUGAAGGCUUGCUAAAAGCAGGAGUAUUGUGCAAAAUACGUGAGUCAGAGUAUAAUACACCCAUUCUACCAGUUGAAAAGAAAAAUACUGGAAAAUUCCGAAUGGUACAUGACCUUAGGGCAAUAAAUGCAGCGGUCUUGACACCAACACUUCCAGUACCCAAUCCGCACUCAGCCCUGUCUCAGCUCUCUCCGUCCCACACCCAUUUUACUUGCAUUGAUCUGGCUAAUGCAUUUUUCUGCAUUCCUCUUGACCCAUCUAUGAAGCAAUGUUUUGCAUUUACUUGGAAUAAUGAACGCUAUUCUUACAACCGACUUCCACAAGGCUUUGUUCUGUCACCAGGACUGUUCAAUGAUCAUCUCAGACAACUUUUAUCACCACUUCAACUUCCGGAAGGUGUGCUCUUAAUACAAUAUGUAGAUGACAUAUUGUUGGCUGCCUCUUCCGAGUCCUUAUGUCUUCGAGCCACCCAGCGACUCUUGUCUCAUCUAGCGUCAGUAGGACUUAAGUGCUCCAAAAGCUAACUACAAAUUGCAAGGCCACAAGUUUCCUUUUUGGGACGCCUUAUUUCAUGCAAAGGCACUGGGAUGUCUCCCUCACACAAAGAUGACAUCUUACACCACCCGAAACCUGUCAAUGUCAAACAAAUGCUCGCCUUCUUAGGACUGUGCAACUAUUCACGCCAUCAUGUCCCGGACUUUGCAGAACUUACACAUCCUCUUCGCCAAAUGGUUAACAUUGAAGGAAUGCGAAAUUUGUCACAUAUCCUCACUUGGACCACUGAAGCGGAAAACUCUUUUGUACACCUCAAACAGCACUUGUCCUCAGCUGCCGCAUUGGCUAUUCCUGAUUACAACAGAAUGUUUUUCCUGGAUGUUUCUGAAAAGACCAGCAGUGUAUCUGCUGCUCUUUAUCAGAAGGGGGAAUCAGGAGAAAGACGAAUUUGUCUAUAUGCCUCUACGCCACUUGAAAAAUACGAAAAGCGACAUCCAGUAUGCGCGGCGUUUGCCUCUGCGUUAGCUCGACUCAUUCAAAAAACCUCACACAUUGUCUUACAUCAUCCAUUGACAGUACGCACUUCUCACAGUACAGUACAGUACGUGACAAGCCAUGUUUUCACCAUGACAGGAGGAAGACAAAGGAAAAUUGAGGUGGACAGGUCCUCAUAAAGUGACGGAGAGAACAUCGUCUGCUGUCCGCCUACAAGGAAAGGGGGAGACGUGGUACCACCUCACCUCUACACGACCAGCAAAGACCCCGUCCCGACAGAUCAUCAUUGCUGCAAGUACUGACUGCACGUCCACGCCAGACCAGUUCCCAUCCCACUGACGACAUCACUCAUCAAAGGUUGAGAUCACGGUACACGGGCAGAAUAAUCCCGGUGACUCAACCUAGGACCGGGUAGUCUAACCCCAGGUCCUGAAGAAGCUGACAGCGCUCUCUAGCGACGAUCCUGAAAAAACACCACCCGACAAUGGCCCGCAAAUGGGACAAAGUUUCAAUUUGUUGUUACAUCACAACCCUUUUUAUUAUAUUAACAUCUCAAGAGAGUUAGCCGCAGGAUUUGAAUCCACAUUUUGUUGGUGGUGUACUAUAAAUAAAAACACAGAUAGAAUUAAUUACAUACAUUACAAUGUGCAACGCCUAGGUAAUUGGACACAAAGCGGAUUUGAAGCGGUACAUGGUCAACUAGCCGCCACCUCUCUGAUGGCUUUCCAGAAUCGCAUUGCUUUAGAUAUGCUCCUGGCAGAAAAAGGAGGCGUAUGCUCCCUGUUUGGCGAACAAUGUUGCCCUUUUAUUCCUAAUAACACAGCUUCUGAUGGCAGCUUAACCUCUGCAAUUGAAGGGCUCAGAACAUUGAACAAAAAGAUGAAGCAACAUUCCGGGGUAGAUACUUCUAUUUGGAACAAUUGGAUGAGUGUUUUUGGACGUUAUAAGGCUCUGGUAUCUUCUAUUUUUAUUUCUAUUGCUGUGUUUGCUGCUUUUCUCACAAUAUGUGGAUGUUGUUGCAUUCCUUGCUUGCGCUCUCUUAGCCAGCGACUCAUUACAGCAGCUAUCGAAAAAAGAGAUGUUAACAACCCCGCCCAGAUGAUGCCACUCCUGUCCUCGGGGGUAUCCCCUGAGAUGCUCGAUGACCCCGCGGGCAUAUUUUUGUAAUGGUACAUUCUCUUACAUGCUGUUUAACAUAUCCUGGUGUCGGACUCUUUCGAGUCCGAAAGGGGGAUUGAAGGCCCUCGCACGUGAUAUACUGAUGUCAUGAUCAUACAUAAGACUUAUUUGUGCACUGUUAUGUUGUGUAACCUAACCUCAGUAUUAAAAUGUUCUGAUAAUUACGUAAGUGUGAAAACUACGUCAGCCGCAAAACAGGAUGUUUUGUCCCAAGAAGAGAUAAUGCUGUGACCUUGGAUCCACCCUGCUCAAGCUUUAAACACCGCCCUGAACACUGUAUAUAAUCUCGCACUGAACGCUGAGAAAGCGCACAUUUGAGCACAUUUUGUGCAGCUGCAGCCUUUGCCUGUAGAACAUUUGUACCCAGAAUAUUCUGCAAUAAAAGAUCUUAAAGAAGUUCAUUUCCAGUCUCUGAUUCGGACUCCAACAUUCUCAUCAUCCGAAAUUCAACGAACACGCGAAGGACUGGCGGAGAGAUACCAUCCUU